UACAGAGGGGGCAAGCGUUGUUCGGAAUUACUGGGCGUAAAGGGCGCGUAGGCGGCCGCCUAAGUCAGACGUGAAAUCCCUCGGCUCAACCGGGGAACUGCGUCUGAUACUGGGUGGCUUGAAUCCGGGAGAGGGAUGCGGAAUUCCAGGUGUAGCGGUGAAAUGCGUAGAUAUCUGGAGGAACACCGGUGGCGAAGGCGGCAUCCUGGACCGGCAUUGACGCUGAGGCGCGAAAGCCAGGGGAGCAAAGCGGGG
rnacentral:rRNA from 1 species